GAGAAUUUGAGGCUUAUCUUGCAUGGGAAUGUUUUGCAUGAUAACAGAAAUGAGGACGAAGUACACCUGCAACUCAGUAAUGGUGACUCGCUGAUUGUUGCUGUCAAACCAAAGCCACCAGCUAAACAUCUUCGGGAUGGUUUUGAUUUUGAUGAUGAUGACCUGAAAUUUCAGUUGCCACAGUCAACAAGUCGGUGGAAGAGGAGGCUUUACUAUUUUCUUCAUGAUAAGUUGAAACUUCCAGAUAUCCUCUUGAUGGCGCUUUUCUCUCUCAGUCUAAAAGCAUGGGCUGUGAUUAUUUUGUGGUUCAUUUUGGCACCUGUCGCACACAGAUGGGAUCUUGGACCAGUUUAUAUACUUGGCACAGGAUUUGCCAUUAUUUUCUUUAAUCUUGGACGACGGCAAGCUGGUGAUCUCAGUGCAUAUUCUAUCUUCAAUGAUGACUUCAGGGAGCUUCCUGGGACCCUUAAUGCAGAUCGUAUAGAUAGAGACAUUCGGGCCGGUCAAUUGUGAA
rnacentral:misc_RNA from 1 species